rnacentral:lncRNA from 1 species
CCAAGCCCGAAACUACAAGUAAGCUUCAAAGUGAAAUUGAUACAUUACCUUGUGCAUCUUCAUCAGCUAAGUACACCAUUCCCGGAUGGAGGAAAGGUACUUCCAGAGAAGGGCAGAUGAAGAUCAGACCAUACUUCGGUACUUAGAAGUUUCGUGAUUACUCAAGGGAUUGGAUCUUGCAAGUCCCCAACUGAGGAGUUUCCCUCACUCGGGAACUUAGGGGAGCACUGUUUGUACCAUACUUGACCAAUCCCGAAACUACCGAGCACCGGCCAACGCUAUACUGUCAAGGACCCAGAAGAGUUCCCUUCCGACCAGGAGGCCAAUCACUACUCGACACGUGUCAAGAUUAGAAGCCAA